rnacentral:rRNA from 1 species
UAAGGAAUAUUGGACAAUGGUCGCAAGACUGAUCCAGCCAUGCCGCGUGCAGGAAGACGGCCCUAUGGGUUGUAAACUGCUUUUGUACCAGAGAAAACCUAUCUACGUGUAGAUAGCUGAUAGUAUGGUAAGAAUAAGCAUCGGCUAACUUCGUGCCAGCAGCCGCGGUAAGACGAGGGAUGCAAGCGUUAUCCGGAUUCAUUGGGUUUAAAGGGUGCGUAGGCGGGCUUGUAAGUCAGUGGUGAAAUCUCUCAGCUUAACUGAGAAACUGCCAUUGAUACUGCAGGCCUAGAGUAUAGAUGACGUUGGCGGAAUAUGACAUGUAGUGGUGAAAUACUUAGAUAUGUCAUAGAACACCGAUUGCGAAGGCAGCUAACGAAACUAUAACUGACGCUGAGGCACGAAAGUGCGGGGAUCAAACA